rnacentral:lncRNA from 1 species
AUGCUCAAAAUUCUCCAAGCCAGGCUUCAGCAAUACAUGAACUGUGAACUCCCUGAUGUUCAAGCUGGUUUUAGAAAAGGCAGAGGAACCAGAGAUCAAAUUGCCAACAUCUGCUGGAUCAUGGAAAAAGCAAGAGAGUUCCAGAAAAACAUCUAUUUCUGCUUUAUUGACUAUGCCAAAGCCUUUGACUGUGUGGAUCACAAGAAACUGUGGAAAAUUCUGAAAGAGAUGGGAAUACCAGACCACCUGACCUGCCUCUUGAGAAAUCUGUACGCAGGUCAGGAAGCAACAGUUAGAACUGGACAUGGAACAACAGACUGGUUCCAAAUAGGAAAAGGAGUACGUCAAGGCUGUAUAUUGUCACCAUGCUUAUUUAACUUCUAUGCAGAGUACAUCAUGAGAAACGCUGGACUGGAAGAAGCACGAGCUGGAAUCAAGAUUGCCGGGAGAAAUAUCAAUAACCUCAGAUAUGCAGAUGACACUACCCUUAUGGCAGAAAGUGAAGAGGAGCUAAAAAGCCUCUUGAUGAAAGUGAAAGAGGAGAGCGAAAAAGUUGGCUUAAAGCUCAACAUUCAGAAAACGAAGAUCAUGGCAUCCAGUCCCAUCACUUCAUGGGAAAUAGAUGGGGAAACAGUGGAAACAGUGUCAGACUUUAUUUUUUUGGGCUCCAGAAUCACUGCAGAUGGUGACUGCAGCCAUGAAAUUAAAAGACGCUUACUCCUUGGAAGAAAAAUUAUGACCAACCUAGAUAGCAUAUUCAAAAGCAGAGACCUUACUUUGCCGACUAAGGUCUGUCUAGUCAAGGCUAUGGUUUUUCCUGUGGUCAUGUAUACAUGUGAGAGUUGGACUGUGAAGAAGGCUGAGCGCCGAAGAAUUGAUGCUUUUGAACUGUGGUGUUGGAGAAGACUCUUGAGAGUUCCUUGGACUGCAAGGAGAUCCAACCAGUCCAUUCUGAAGGAGAUCAGCCCUGGGAUUUCUUUGGAAGGAAUGAUGCUAAAGCUGAAGCUCCAGUCCUUUGGCCACCUCAUGCGAAGAGUUGACUCAUUGGAAAAGACCCUGAUGCUGGGAGGGAUUGGAGGCAGGAGGAGAAGGGGACGACCCAGGAUGAGAUGGCUGGAUGGCAUCACGGACUCGAUGGAUGUGAGUCUGAGUGAACUCCGGGAGAUGGUGAUGGACAGGGAGGCCUGGCGUGCUGCGAUUCAUGGGGUCGCAAAGAGUCGGACAUGA